AUACCUUUAGCUCAGUUGGUUAGAGCAGACGGCUCAUAACCGUCCGGUCGUAGGUUCGAGUCCUACAGGGUACA
rnacentral:tRNA from 1 species